AAGCGAAACACAGGCAUUCGUGCCUGUGUCUGCCAAUCGUCGUGGAUUGGUACUGAUGAGCAGCGAUAA
rnacentral:hammerhead_ribozyme from 1 species